CUCCUUUCAUUCCACACAAUGUCUGUAUAUGUUCCAUUUAAGGCUCUGAAGAUGGGGAGAGAAUUCUGGAUGAUCCAGGUGGGCCCUUAAUAAUGGUCCCUUAUUACAGAGAGCCAGAGGGAGAUUUGAAACUGACAGGAGAAGUCAGUAAGACCAUGAAUGCAGAGAUUCGAGUAAUACGGCUACGAGCCAAAAGAUGCCAGCAGCCACCUGCAGCUGGAAGAGGCAUAAAUGGAUUCUCCCCUAAAGCUCCCAGGAGUGUGGCCCUGCUGACACCCUGAUUUCAGCCCCAUGAUACUGAUGUUGGACUGGUCCUCAGAACUGUGAAAGAAUAAAUUUCUGUUGUUUUAAAC
rnacentral:lncRNA from 10 species